CUUACAGAGUUUAUUGGCAUUCUGUCCACCUCCUCCUCCUACAUCGAACGGGGAAAAAAGGACAAACGAUGGAGAAAGAGCCCCGUUGUUUUUAAAGGGGAAAAAGAGAAAUUCUCCCAUGUUUUCGCUUGUUUUGAAGGAGGUGGGCAUACUGCCAAGUGAGCUCUGUUGG
rnacentral:pre_miRNA from 1 species